rnacentral:rRNA from 1 species
UACGGGGGGUGCGAGCGUUGUCCGGAAUCACUGGGCGUAAAGGGCGCGUAGGCGGCCUGCUAAGUCGGACGUGAAAUCCCUCGGCUCAACCGAGGAACUGCGUCCGAUACUGGUGGGCUUGAAUCCGGGAGAGGGAUGUGGAAUUCCAGGUGUAGCGGUGAAAUGCGUAGAUAUCUGGAGGAACACCGGUGGCGAAGGCGGCAUCCUGGACCGGUAUUGACGCUGAGGCGCGAAAGCUAGGGUAGCAAACGGG